rnacentral:snRNA from 1 species
GGAUGUGAGGGUGAUCUGGCUGCGACAUCUCUCACCCCAUUGAUUGCCAGUGUUGAUUAAACUGAUCUGGCUGGCUAGGUGGAUGUCCACUUCCUCCCUCACUGCUCCACCUGCGUCCCUCCCGAAUUCGAGCACACUAGGUCUAAGAGAACAGCCUUCCCAGAGUAGAGGAGGACCAGUUUUCAGUCAAGGGUAUAACCGCUGCACUCUCCUGCUAGAACCAUCAAUUCCUAGCAACCACAUGGUGGCUCACAACCAUCUGUAAUGGGAUCCGAUGUGCUCUUCUGGUGUGUCUGAUGACAGUAAAACAUAAAACAAUAAAUCUUUUAAAAUUUUUUU